rnacentral:rRNA from 1 species
UACGUAGGGUGCGAGCGUUGUCCGGAAUUAUUGGGCGUAAAGGGCUCGUAGGCGGUUUGUCACGUCGGGAGUGAAAACUCGGGGCUUAACCCCGAGCCUGCUUCCGAUACGGGCUGACUAGAGGUAUGCAGGGGAGAACGGAAUUCCUGGUGUAGCGGUGAAAUGCGCAGAUAUCAGGAGGAACACCGGUGGCGAAGGCGGUUCUCUGGGCAUUACCUGACGCUGAGGAGCGAAAGCCAGGGGAGCAAACGGG